AGUGGAAUUGCUGGAUCAUAUGGUAAGAGUAUGUUUAGCUUUGUAAAAAACUGCCAGACUGUUAUCCAAAGCAGGUGUACCAUUUUGCAUUCCCAACAGCAGU
rnacentral:pre_miRNA from 1 species